rnacentral:snRNA from 1 species
GGACGUGAGGGUAAUCUGGCUGCAACAUCUGUCACCCCACUGAUUGCCAAGAUUGAUUCAGCUAAGCUGGUUGCCUAGGCAGGUGUCCCCUUCCCCCUCACAACUCCCUGUGCGUCCCUCCAGAAGAUGCGUGCAGGGGUGAAGAGGAAGACAGAGGAGGACCAUUUCCUCAGUCAAGGGGAUACGAGCAGCUGAGCCUCCCUGCGCGAACCUCCAAACAAGCUCUCAAGGAAAGGAAAUGUGUAUGUGUGUUGACUGGGGGGAUAAGGGUUAAAGGUGGUUUUUU